CAGUAAUCAGUACAAGGAUUGAAGGUGUUUGCUAGCUCAAGCACUAAAAGGCAAGGAUAAUUGUAUGCAGAUUCAGGUGGUAGUUACUUGCUAUGAGGUGGCUAACAUUAAUUAAGCCACCAAUUGUUUUAAGAGAAAGUCUUGCGUACGGCAGACGCAAGGAACAUGUGGUACGUACGGGCUGACCAAUCAGCACCAAUUUAGCUAAAUUCAAAAGUCAAAACAUGUGAACGAGAUUGGCUGAAUCGUAAAAUACAUAAAAAGCUGAGAUCAGCAGGGUCCUAGAAAGAAGAGUUCUUGUAUUUACAGGGAAUUUGUCAAAACUUCUAUCAGUGGGACUUGGAGAAUUCUGGGCUACGCCGGGCGUACAGUACGCCUUUGAUGGGCCUCAACAGAAGGGCAUAACAGUCCUUUCAAAUUCACGUUAGAAAGAAUACGUGGUAAGGGUUAAAAAUCUUCUACUGCAACGGUAAUUGGAGGGCAGAAUGGACAGUUCGAAUUUUAGAUCACCGCUAGUCGAAGUGUCGACUGUCGAACUGUCGAAGGCAUUGAGAUACCAAUCUAAAAUUCCCGAUCCGCACCAAAAUUGAAGAGGAAGGGCAGAAAGACAACGACACGACCCCUUUGAAUUUCAAAGAGAGGAUGCAAAACCAAUAACAGUAAAGAGCUUUGAGUGGAAAUAAUGAUGUCGGAAGCAGAUCCAUCUCUAUAGCCUCUGUAACCCAGUCGGGACUCUUCCGUACGACCACUAAGCGGUGGCGCAUGGCUCCCAAUCGCUUCGUCUCCUCGACACGGUUUCAAAAUCUGGACACCCAACUCAAGACUUCUUUACAUGCAUAGCUGGAGAAUCUGAAAACCGCAGUCUGCACUUCAUUCAUAUGAUUCAUGUCUGGGUCUUCCCGGUGCGCCGCUCAAUUUCGCCAUUGAAGUUCAUCGCAGGGAGUUCAUACUUGAGACAGUAGUAGUUUAUCUGUUUAUGAGAAGCAAAUCUGUCUUUGCCUCUUUGGCCCGCCACUGAAGUUGACAAUUUGACAUGCAUAGCAGCAGAAUUUGAGAAUCGUAUAAUUAAUCUCGCCAAAAUCGAAUAGAUCUUGAGUAGCUUUCUUGCUCCGAUUGAAGACCCCAAGUGAUCAAUUCGGUAUGCAUUUGGGUGAUCUGGGCCAAGCUCUGACAUGAAUCCAGAACUGACAAGAUACAGGUUUAAGCAAAGAGAGUUUAAGAGAAGAAGAAGAGUGGUGGGCACAUGAGAUAUAAACAUUUGGCUCCAUGGGUCCUGCGAGGUAAAUCUAGAAUUCAUAUGUAAAUCCACAGAGCAACCUUUGUUCACCUCAGCCCUAGUUAGCAAUGCGACAGAAUCACUAGUUGGUGUCUGAAACUUUUUCCCUUCAGUUGUGUAAAAGCAAGGACUUCUAUGUUCUUUACCAGUUCUUAUGAAUAGGGAUGAACAACAAGCGAAAAUUCUACAAUGAACAAGGUUAGAUUGACCCUUA